GAUGCUUAAUAUUUAUCGCCUAAGUAAGCUUGCCAGAUCGGAGGAAAGCUAGCCUAGGGGCCCUAACCAAGGGAGACCUAAGCGCCGCACCGGGCUAGGACUCCCAUCCCGUGACAACAUGCAACAAUGAUAUUUGAAGUGCUACUUGUGAGCUGUCUUCUUGUGAAGAAAAAACAACCACUGUUAUUAAGGAAAAUUCCUCUGCUGCAUUCAUAUUUUCAUCCUUUGGACUGUCAUCAUUUCCCAAUGGUUCUUUGACUACCUCUAAACUCAGCACUUUCAAACUAUCAUCACCACCUAACUGUUCUGGCGUCUCAUUAGCUUUCAGACCAGAGUACCUCAAAUUAUCACCACCUCUCAACUACUCUUGAUCAUCAUCAAGCUCAUCCGAAUUUGAGCUAGAGUUACUUUGUCACAUAAUAACUGGUUCAUAUUAACCGAAGAAAAGUUUUUCUGUUGCUCUAAUCGAG
rnacentral:misc_RNA from 1 species